GGAGUAGCCAAUAGCAGAAUUGUUUUGAAUUAACAGAACUAGUAUCAACAGAGACCAAGGAAACCCUAAAAACCUGAUAGGGAUUUCCAUUCCCACUGUAGGAGUCACACAGAAGGUAUACCUCAUGAACGGUGCUGUUUACAGUGUACCUGCCUGAUUACAAGAGGGGUCACACUCCUGUGAGACUUACAGGGAAAGCAUGUCCCUCACACUCUAAUAUAGUGCACACUGGGUCAAAAUUCACUAAUCACAGCCAGAGAAGCCAGAAGGAAGCUACAAUAUGAAGUCCAGUUGGAACUAAACACUACACAACAAGAAAGAAAACACUGUAUAACAAAGAAGGCCCUUGCAUAAGAGUAGAAGAGAAACCAAAAACAAUAGAUGCACAGAUAUUAACAUAGAAAACAAAUAUUUUAAAAAAAUGCAGUAUGACACCACCUAAAGUUCAUAUCUCUCUAGUAAUGAAUGUCAAAGAAAUUAAAAUGAAUGUAAUGCAGGACAAAGAAUUUAAAAGAAUUAUUUUUUUUAAAUAUCAAUGAAAUCCAAGAUAGUGCAAAUAAAUAUUAAUGAACCAAGGAAGAUGAUGCAGGAUAUAAAUGAGCAUUUAAAUGAGAUUUUGAAAAUAAAUCUUAAAAAUCAAAAAUUCAGUAAAUUAGAUUUUAAAAAUCAGUUGAAAGCUUCAACAAUAGAUUAGAUCAAAUAGAAAAAAAAAUAAAGAAUAUUAGCGCUUCAGGACAACUCUGCUAAGAUAGUACAUUUAACCAUCAAGAAAUGAAUCAAUUAAUGGGAUGGAAUCAAACUAAAAAGUUUCUUCUCAGCAAAAGAAACAAUCUGUGAAGUGACCAGAGAGCCUACAUCCUGGGAACAAAUGUUUACCCCUCACACAUCAGAUAGAGCAUUAAUCUCUAUGAUAUGUAAAGAACUCAUAAAGCUAAGCACCAAGAAAACAAAUAACCCAAUCAACAAAUGGGCCAAGGACCUGAACAGACACUUCUCAGAAGAGGAUAUACAAUCAAUCAGCAAAUAUAUGAAAAAAUGCUCAUCAUCUCUAGCAAUUAGAGAAAUGCAAAUCAAAACUACUCUAAGAUAUCCUCUCACUCCAGUCAGAAUGACAGCUAUUAUGAAGACAAACCACAAUAAGUGUUGGCUAGGAUGUGGGUAAAAUGGUACACUCAUACAUUGCUGGUGGGACUGCAAAUUGAUGCAGCCAAUAUGGAAAGCAGUAUGGAGAGUCCUUGGAAAUCUGGGAAUGGAACCACCAUUUGACCCAACUAUCCCUCUCCUUGGACUAUAUCCAAAGGACUUAAAAACAGCAUACUCCAGGGACACAGCCACAUCAAUGUUUGUAGCAGCACAAUUCACAAUAGCUUAACUGUGGAGCCAACCUAGAUACCCUUCAGUGAAUUAAUGGAUAAAAAAAAAUGUGGUAUAUAUAUACAUAUAUAUACAAUGGAAUUUUACUCAGCAAUAAAAGAGAAUAAAAUCAUGGCAUUUGCAGGUAAAUGGAUGGCAUUGGAGAAGAUAAUGCUAAGUGAAGUUAGC
rnacentral:lncRNA from 1 species